ensembl:lncRNA
AAAAUCCUGACCACUGUAUAAGUUUGAUAAAAAUGGAAAAUUACUGACAGGUGUAGCACGCGUUGCUUUUUGUAGUCGCUGAAAAAUGACGCAACCGGAGCGUAUAAAAGAGCCCGUCCCCCGCAUGACGUUCUCUUGAGUCGUUGCUAUCGCUUGACGAGAACCAUCUUCUCAUCAUGAGAGCGAAGUGGCGAAAGAAGCGCAUGCGCAGGCUGAAGCGUAAAAGGAGAAAGAUGAGGCAGAGGUCAAAGUAAACUGGACCCUGUUUGCUGAAGCUGAGAGUGCUCCUCCACUUCAAUCUCCUCAGCAAGAGUCUGCUGGAAGCCCAACUGAAGCUCCACUCAUCCACCAUCUGUGAGGCCUGCUUUCUUCUGAACGAGGAUUUGGUUUUCCAUCACCUGGUUCUGCAGAAGCAUCCUGGUCUUGAUGACCAUGUGAACUGUUUUGGACAUUCCUCAGACCUGUCAGCUCAGCGUGCUUUUGUUCAUGUCUUCAAUAAAUCUUUUGGUUUAAAGAAUCCUUUUGCCUAAUGUUUUCUUUUGAAUGAAGUUAUUGGGUUUUAUUCGGGCUGUAUAAAAUUAUAAGAUCAAACUUGGGUAUUGCAGGAGCCAGUAGUGUUGGAAGGCACCAUACAUCUAGAAGGCUUUAAUUCCUGCCUUAGUGUAUUUAACUUGUGCUUGUCGCUUUUCCCUUGUGCUAGAACUUCUUAACCUAGCCUAAAUCAGCUUUUAAGUCUCUUAUUGCGUUACUUCUAGUCUAUGGGCUUUUAUAGCAUGCUAUAAUAAACUUCGCCAUAAUUGUAGUUCCUUGCCAUGUUUAUUUGCGUGUCUGCUACGUGAUCUGACGACACCGUGCUAAGUUUAUAGGAGUGUAGUUAAAUUAACCGCAGAGGGACUACAUUUGGAGAAAUCACAAACCAUGGACAGCAACUAUUAACA